rnacentral:tRNA from 1 species
GGGCCCGUAGCUCAGCCCGGUAGAGCGGCGGGCUCUUAACCCGUAGACCAGGGAGCUGGGCGGAAGUCCCGGGUUCAAAUCCCGGCGGGCCCGCCA